CUUCAACGAACCCAACCACAACGGCCGAUCCGCCGGGCGAUCCCGACCGUAGGUGGCCAGCAACGCCUGCGCCUC
rfam:Actinoalloteichus sp. GBA129-24, complete genome.